rnacentral:rRNA from 1 species
UACAGAGGUCCCGAGCGUUGUUCGGAUUCACUGGGCGUAAAGGGUGCGUAGGUGGCGAGGUAAGUCGGAUGUGAAAGCUCGGAGCUCAACUCCGAAAUGGCAUUGGAAACUACCUUGCUCGAGGGUUGGAGGGGGGACUGGAAUACUUGGUGUAGCAGUGAAAUGCGUAGAUAUCAAGUGGAACACCAGUGGCGAAGGCGGCAUCCUGGACCGGCAUUGACGCUGAGGAGCGAAAGCGUGGGGAGCGAACAGG